CCAGUUCGGCCGCAGCGUUAGCCAGAUAUCCGAGUGUAGGAAACCGUGGCAGGAGCACGGCGGAACGUGGCACGGCGCGGCGGGAGUAACACUGCGUUCGUGUCCCGUUUCCACUGCGCGGCACCGUGAACAAGCAAAUGCCAUUUCCCGAAGCGAAAUACAGAGGACUGUUUCAAGUUCCAAGCAGCAGCCACCACGGUGACCUUCUUUCGUCCCUUCAGCCUUUGCCUUCUCCGCUGCUAGUUUCUGCAUUUCCCUCCCAUCUGCCUUUCUCAUCACUGCUGUGCCUCCCGCGCUGGCCUCGGGGACAGCCUGGUUUGAGGACAGCAAGAGCUCUGGAUCACUAAGUAGGGCUGCAAAACAGUCCUAAGAUUACUUUCCUCUUGGCCGUGUUUCUUAUACAAGUCCGCAUAUAAUCAGAUCGAUGCCAAGUCUUCCUGUACUCGUUCACUCAGUCUGUGACUCAUUAACUUCAGUUCACUUAGACUAGUUCAGUAGAAUUGCAAGACCAUAGCACUGGCAUAAAAUUUAUCUUCUGAAUGUCCUGGACCAAUAGAUUUGAAUUAAUUGCUAUUAACAUUACUGUGAAAUUUGGUCAGGCUGGUAAGCUUCCUAAGAUUGAACAUGAUUUCUCCCUUCCCUUGUCUCCCUUUCUUCAUUAUCCUCUGUUAAAAGCUAACAGUUAACAUUUGAGAGGAGAAAUCUUGUAAUUUGUUUCUUAAACUUCUGACUAGAGCUGCACUUUGGUUUUCUACAGUCUUAUUAAUGUGAGAUAAAGCUUUCUUUACAGCACACUACAAGGGACAUAUACAAUCAUAAAUAGAGCUCUUUCUGUAAGGAAUUAAGCUUCCAUUUUGCCUAGAGCAUUGUCAAAGCUGGAAAUUCUCUGUGCCGGAACACUUAGACUUUCUUCAAUCUAACAUCAAAACAUCUCUUUGUUUGCUCUGACUUGUUCAAAGAUGGAAGAAACAGAACCGGAAUUCAGUGUAAAUCGUAACAGUCCCUGGCAGAACAGAGUUCAUACUGUGAUGAAAGGGAAUUCUAGUUUGGCAGAGGACAAAACCUGCAGCCUGGAGCGGACUGAUGCAGAAAAUCCCCAACUAUUCCACGCAGAGUUCAUUGAAUGCCCACCACCUUGUGCCCCAAAAUCACCCCACUGUGCACAAACCCAGUGCUGAUUGCAUCUGUGCUACUCCCUGUGAAAACCAGAAUCCACGUUCUUAUCUUAGGCCAGUUUUACAAUUACUGUAAAAGGAGUAAGAAAUGUAUCUUCAAGUCCUGAGUCUGGUGGCACAAACUAACAGUCAGUCUUUUAACAAUGAAGAAAAUACUCUUCAAAUCAGCUAUUCCCAUGUGUUGACUUUGGUAGGCUGAUGUACUGCUUAUACAUUUAGAUACAUAUAAUAACAUAUAAUUAUAUAUAUUACAUUAUAAUAAGUGCAUGGAAACUGUUAACAAUUUAUUACUCUAUUUACAUGUAUUUUACUGCAGUUCCAUAUAUGCACUUACUAUACCUUUUAUAUAUAUAAUAUAGAAUGCACACACACAUAUAGGUACAAUAAAUUUAGCCCUUGUGACAUAGUGGAAAGGCAGUGUGUUAUUUUGGGAGUUGUCUUCAUAUGGAAUUUGGACUGGUUCUGGCUUCCAAGGGAAUGGAGAUUGACCAAAAGUGAAAAAUUUGCACAUUUUUGUACAGACAGCUAGACUCAGAUUUUAGUACAACUCGAGAAAUAACAAUUGUGUUUUCCAAUGUUUCACUUAAACAUCUUUAUAAUUCAAUUAGCAUCUUUAUAACUGCUAUGAAACAUAUUUAUAAAUGCUAUGAAAUCAUAAUUUUGAAGAUAAAAAGUCAGAUUAUUAGCUGGAAAAAAUAAAGCUUACCAAAAGGCAGUUUUUACAAACAUCUUAACUUUGGAGGUUUCUCAAGGCACCACUUUAGGGAAUAGUAUUUUCAAGCUGCUGAAUAUUCUUUUCUGCUUGCAAGAUGUUUUCUAUCCUUUUGACACUUAAAUGAAGAAUGCCUGGACACUUUUGGAAGCCAGUAAGACAGUAACUGUUAUCAGAGUUUUGAAAACACAUUUUUAACUGCCAAGUUUUUACCCCAUUCCAAGUGUGGCAUUUGAAACAAUUUGGAAGCAACAUUAUUAGAGCCACCUUAGCAUACUUUUGGAAUCAGCACUAUUGCUCUUCCUGUGAAGAAAGCAGAAUUUGCACUGGGGUUAAUUCACAUGCAAGUACAGUAAUUUGACUAUAUUACUUACAGUAAUACAGUUUAAUGUCAGCAUAAAUAUAUAGAGGACUUGAGGCUACAUGCACUAAGUAAAUACAUACAUGUACUCGAAAAGCUGCUUGGGCAAAUACACCUCAGUGGUUAAUAAAGUAUUAUUUUCUUUCAAUUUAUCAAAUGUAAAUUAGUUUUAUGUAUAUUCAAAGAUUAAGUUUUUCUCAUAGUGAAUUAGAAGUGGUCUAAUUAUAGCUAUCAUCAGGUGAUGCAAGAUCCCAGCAAGAUGACAAUAUUAUGAUGCUAUAAAUAAUUUACUUAUGUAGAGAAUCACACUUUACCAUAUUAAUAACUUUAAUUUUAGUAUUUUGGUUUUUUCCCCUAAGUAUUAAAAAGCAGUUUUUCUCUGCACAUUUUCAGUUAUCUUAAAAAUGUGACAUCCAGUGAAAGAUUACCAAAAUCUUUUUCCUUAGAAGAACAGCUGACAGUCUAUCCAGCCCCACUGGUAAGCAUUUGAUUCAGACUGUUAGGAACAGGACAGGAAGUUUGGGGGGGGGAAAAAAAAUCCUCCCAUUUUAGAUAAGUAUCCCACGGUUAUUUUAAUUUUAACACAAUCUGUUUUUAUAUAUACUUCUUGUUUCUUCUGCUGUCCUCAAAAAUUCCAUGUGUCCUUUAGGCACUGGUACUUUCCCUGUAAAGAAAUUCUGUCUCUUGCCUUCACUCAGAACAAAUUUUGUGUUUCUUGACUGCUGCCACAACAUUUCAGCAUUCUCUUCAAACCCUUUCUCUCUUGUUAAGAAACUCCAUAUAUUAUAACCUUUAUUUACACUUUAAAUGUAAAUUUAAAUCCUGGACCAUAUUUUGAUUGCAAAUGUAAUGCUGUUAGUGACUACAGGCCAACCAAUGAUAACAAAUUUCAGAUUAUUAAAUUUAAUUCCACUCAAAUAAAUUAAUUUCACCUUUUCACUGCCCAACUUUUUUUUGAAAGGAAAGAACCUCACAAAUAAAAGCCAUGUUCUUGUCUGCAAUA